rnacentral:rRNA from 1 species
UACGUAGGCAGCGAGCGUUGUUCGGAAUUACUGGGCGUAAAGAGUGUGUAGGCGGUGCUCUAAGUUCGGUGUGAAAUCUCCUGCUCAACUGGGAGGGUGCGCCGGAAACUGGAGUGCUUGAGCGUGGGAGAGGAAAGCGGAAUUCCUGGUGUAGCGGUGAAAUGCGUAGAUAUCAGGAGGAACACCUGUGGUGUAGACGGCUUUCUGGACCAUAGC